rnacentral:misc_RNA from 2 species
GAAGCGGAGUUGACUGGGGUUGUAGCUGGCCUUCCGAAGGCAUGUGCACGCCCUGCUCAUCCACUCUACACCUGUGCACUUACUGUGGGUUUUACGGGUCGUGAAAUUGGCUCGUUCAUUCGGGCUCGUUGAGCGCACUUGUUGCCUGCGUUUAUCACAAACUCUAUAAAGUAUUAGAAUGUGUAUUGCGAUGUAACGCAUCUAUAUACAACUUUCAGCAACGGAUCUCUUGGCUCUCGCAUCGAUGAAGAACGCAGCGAAAUGCGAUAAGUAAUGUGAAUUGCAGAAUUCAGUGAAUCAUCGAAUCUUUGAACGCACCUUGCGCUCCUUGGUAUUCCGAGGAGCAUGCCUGUUUGAGUGUCAUGAAAUCUUCAAUCUACAAGCUUCUUAUGGGAGUUUGUAGGCUUGGACUUGGAGGCUUGUCGGUCCUUUACAGGUCGGCUCCUCUCAAAUGCAUUAGCUUGGUUCCUUGCGGAUCGGCUUGUCGGUGUGAUAAUGUCUACGCCGCGACCGUGAAGCGUGUUUGGGCGAGCUUCUAACCGUCUCGUUACGGAGACAACUUUAUGACCUCUGACCUCAAAUCAGGUAGGACUACCCGCUGAACUUAAGCAUAUCAUAACCCCGAGAAAAAAGAAAAUUAUGGAGUUUUGACGGGGUGGUAGCUGGCCUUCCGAGGCAUGUGCACGCCCUGCUCACCACUCUACACCUGUGCACUUACUGUGGGGUUUUACGGGGUCGUGAAAAUGGGGCUCGGUUCAUUCGGGCUCGGUUGAGCGCAUUGGUUGCCGGCGUUUAUUCAAACUCUAUAAAGGUAUUAGAAAUGUGUAUUUGCGGAUGUAACGCAACCUAUAUACAACUUUUCAGCAACGGAAUCUUUGGGCCUGCAUCCAUUAAAAAAAGCACCGAAAUGCGAUAAGUUAAUGGUGAAAUUGCAGAAAUUCAGUGGAAUCAUCGAAAUCUUUUGAAAGCCUUGGCCUCUUGGGUAUUUCCAAGGAAGCAUGCCUGUUUUGAAGUGUCAAGGAAAAUCUUUCAAUCUAAAAGCUUCUUAAUGGGGAAGUUUUGUUAGGCCUUGGAACUUUGGAAAGGCUUUGUUCGGGUCCUUUUUACGGGGUCGGGCUUCCCCCCAAAAGGCAAUUAAACUUGGGUUUUCCUUUGCGGAAAGGCCCUGGUUCCGUUGGUGGAAAAAAAUGUUCUUACCCCCCCUCUAAAACGAGGUUUUUUUGGCGGGAAGCCUAUUCACCCUUCCUUUUUUGGGGAAAAAACCUUUUUUUUUGGCCCCCCUCCCCCCCCCGGAAGAGGGGAAAGCCCCGCAUCCCUUUAUUCCCCUAAAUAAUAUAAA